rnacentral:rRNA from 1 species
AGAACUUAGCAGAGGAUGCUUUUGGUGCCUUCGGGAACUCUGAGACAGGUGCUGCAUGGCUGUCGUCAGCUCGUGUUGUGAAAUGUUGGGUUAAGUCCCGCAACGAGCGCAACCCUUUAUCCUUUGUUGCCAGCGGUUAGGCCGGGAACUCAAAGGAGACUGCCAGUGAUAAACUGGAGGAAGGUGGGGAUGACGUCAAGUCAUCAUGGCCCUUACGAGUAGGGCUACACACGUGCUACAAUGGCGCAUACAAAGAGAAGCGACCUCGCGAGAGCAAGCGGACCUCAUAAAGUGCGUCGUAGUCCGGAUUGGAGUCUGCAACUCGACUCCAUGAAGUCGGAAUCGCUAGUAAUCGUGGAUCAGAAUGCCACGGUGAAUACGUUCCCGGGCCUUGUACACACCGCCCGUCACACCAUGGGAGUGGGUUGCAAAAGAAGUAGGUAGCUUAACCUUCGGGAGGGCGCUUACCACUUUGUGAUUCAUGACUGGGGUGAAGUCGUAACAAGGUAGGCGUAGAUGA